UACGUAGGGCGCAAGCGUUAUCCGGAAUUAUUGGGCGUAAAGAGCUCGUAGGCGGUUCGUCGCGUCGGCUGUGAAAUCCCGAGGCUCAACCUCGGGUCUGCAGUCGAUACGGGCGGACUGGAGUUCGGCAGGGGAGACUGGAAUUCCUGGUGUAGCGGUGAAAUGCGUAGAUAUCUGGAGGAACACCGGUGGCGAAGGCGGCAUCCUGGACCAACACUGACACUGAGGAGCGAAAGCCAGGGGAGCAAACAGG
rnacentral:rRNA from 1 species